UUUUUUUUUAUUCACUGGUGAUAAAAGUCACAAUAUUCUUUAUCAUAGGAAUGACAAGCCAGCUACAGCUACAACAGAAAUUUUUUGCAAAAAUUUACAUUUCAGAAGAUAAAAGACCUAAAUAACAGUUAUGUUUAUCAAUAAAAUGCAAUAUUGUACAUUUUGUCUGAUAUAAAUACUGCAUAAGGUUAACCAAUGAAUGUGAUGUUUAUGCCAAGUUUUUAAAAAUUACAU
rnacentral:lncRNA from 1 species